rnacentral:rRNA from 1 species
AGUCGAACGCUUCUUUCCUCCCGAGUGCUUGCACUCAAUUGGAAAGAGGAGUGGCGGACGGGUGAGUAACACGUGGGUAACCUACCCAUCAGAGGGGGAUAACACUUGGAAACAGGUGCUAAUACCGCAUAACAGUUUAUGCCGCAUGGCAUAAGAGUGAAAGGCGCUUUCGGGUGUCGCUGAUGGAUGGACCCGCGGUGCAUUAGCUAGUUGGUGAGGUAACGGCUCACCAAGGCCACGAUGCAUAGCCGACCUGAGAGGGUGAUCGGCCACACUGGGACUGAGACACGGCCCAGACUCCUACGGGAGGCAGCAGUAGGGAAUCUUCGGCAAUGGACGAAAGUCUGACCGAGCAACGCCGCGUGAGUGAAGAAGGUUUUCGGAUCGUAAAACUCUGUUGUUAGAGAAGAACAAGGACGUUAGUAACUGAACGUCCCCUGACGGUAUCUAACCAGAAAGCCACGGCUAACUACGUGCCAGCAGCCGCGGUAAUACGUAGGUGGCAAGCGUUGUCCGGAUUUAUUGGGCGUAAAGCGAGCGCAGGCGGUUUCUUAAGUCUGAUGUGAAAGCCCCCGGCUCAACCGGGGAGGGUCAUUGGAAACUGGGAGACUUGAGUGCAGAAGAGGAGAGUGGAAUUCCAUGUGUAGCGGUGAAAUGCGUAGAUAUAUGGAGGAACACCAGUGGCGAA